rnacentral:rRNA from 1 species
AUUGAACGCUGGCGGCAGGCCUAACACAUGCAAGUCGGACGGUAGCACAGGGGAGCUUGCUCCUCGGGUGACGAGUGGCGGACGGGUGAGUAAUGUCUGGGGAUCUGCCCGAUAGAGGGGGAUAACCACUGGAAACGGUGGCUAAUACCGCAUAAUGUCGCAAGACCAAAGAGGGGGACCUUCGGGCCUCUCACUAUCGGAUGAACCCAGAUGGGAUUAGCUAGUAGGCGGGGUAACGGCCCACCUAGGCGACGAUCCCUAGCUGGUCUGGGAGGAUGACCAGCCACACUGGAACUGAGACACGGGCCAGACUCCUACGGGAGGCAGCAGUGGGGAACAUUGCACAAUGGGCGCAAGCCUGAUGCAGCCAUGCCGCGUGUAUGAAGAAGGCCUUCGGGCUGUAAAGUACUUUCAGCGGGGAGGAAGGCGAUGUGGUUAAUAACCGCGUCGAUUGACGUUACCCGCAGAAGAAGCACCGGCUAACUCCGUGCCAGCCGCCGCGGUAA